rnacentral:rRNA from 1 species
ACCUUUUGUAUAAUGGGUCAGCGAGUUACUUUCAGUGGCGAGGUUAACUGAAUAAGGGAGCCGUAGAGAAAUCGAGUCUGAAUAGGGCGAUAGUCGCUGGGAGUAGACCCGAAACCGGGCGAUCUAGCCAUGUGCAGGAUGAAGGUUGGGUAACACCAACUGGAGGUCCGAACCGGGUAAUGUUGAAAAAUUAUCGGAUGACGUGUGGCUAGGAGUGAAAGGCUAAUCAAGCCCGGAGAUAGCUGGUUCUCCCCGAAAGCUAUUUAGGUAGCGCCUCGUGAAUGAUUACUGGGGGUAGAGCACUGUUUCGGCUAGGGGGCUGUCAUGGCUUACCAAACCGAUGCAAACUCCGAAUACCGGCUAAUUGAAUCACGGGAGACACACGGCGGGUGCUAACGUCCGUCGUGGAGAGGGAAACAACCCAGACCGCCAGCUAAGGUCCCCAAGUACUAGUUAAGUGGGAAACGAUGUGGGAAGGCAUAGACAGCCAGGAGGUUGGCUUAGAAGCAGCCACCCUUUAAAGAAAGCGUAAUAGCUCACUGGUCGAGUCGGCCUGCGCGGAAGAUGUAACGGGGCUAAAACUAGUCACCGAAGCUGCGGAUGUGCGCGAAAGCGCACGUGGUAGGGGAGCGUUCUGUAGGCUGAUGAAGGUGCAUUGAGAAGUGUGCUGGAGGUAUCAGAAGUGCGAAUGCUGACAUGAGUAACGAUAAUGUGGGUGAAAAGCCCACACGCCGGAAGUCCCAGGUUUCCUGCACGACGUUAAUCGGAGCAGGGUGAGUCGGCCCCUAAGGCGAGGCUGAAGAGCGUAGUCGAUGGGAACCAGGUUAAUAUUCCUGGACUUUUUAUAAGUGGUGAAGUGGGGACGAAGAAGGCUAGGUGAGCCAGGCGUUGGUUGUCCUGGUACUUGCAUGUAGGGGGGAAGACUUGGCAAAUCCGGUUUUCCAUAACUCUGAGGUGCGAAGUGGUUCUGACCUUUUGGUACAGAGAAGUCAUUGAUGCCCGGCUUCCAGGAAAAGCUGCUAGCCAUAACUUAUAGAGAACCGUACCGCAAACCGACACAGGUGGACAGGUAGAGAAUACUAAGGCGCUUGAGAGAACUCGGGUGAAGGAACUAGGCAAAAUGGUACCGUAACU